UAUAUUUCAUUUCAGCAGCAUAUCACAUCAAAUACAAUACAUCAUCCACCGACUCGACGCAUUAAGGUUCAACACCUAACAAAGGCACAUCAAAAUAAUUUUAUAUGUGCACAACGGAAUAAUUCUGCAAGUGCAUGUGAAAAGAAAAAGGUUCCAACAAAUAGACAAUCGCACAUAAAGAGAGUUCCACAAAGAUUGAAUGAGAACCACAAAUUUCUUCUCAUCCUCUUCCUCUGCAUAAUAUGCUCUUGCCAUUGCCGCCUGCAAGAAAAAAAUGAUGGUAAGGCUGCAUAUACUUUGUAUACUUCGGACUAGAGUAUAUGGAUUCUAGUAUAUAUGUUGCAAAAUAAUUAUUACUGUGUGUAUAUAUAUCGAUGGCGUGACGCUACUUGUUUGCACUAUAGUAUAACUACGUGGACGCAUGUAGUAUAUGUUCGUAUACCUAAUACUAUAUUGGCAACAAACCGAACCGACUACCGGACACAAAAUACUAGCAUACAUGAACAAAGUAAAUGGACUGUAAAAAAAGAGAUUCAGAUAACACCAAAUUGUGAAAAAAUAUCUUUAAUAGUGCCGUAAAUAAACUUAAAACAUCGAUCAACAGUAGAGAAAAGGGGAAAAAAUAACCUACAUACAUGGAUAGAGAAAAUGGACUUCAAACAACAAGUAACUGAGAAAAGGUCAAAUAUUAUUGGAAAAUAAACUUGCUAAUGUGACGAACAAUAGCUGGAAUUAAAUAGAAAACCCCUACAUACAUAGACACAAAGAGUUGAGGGAAACUAGAUGACAGACUAAAACCAAGAUAGAAUAGGGAAUUGCAUUACGUACACACACAGAGACGGAAAAUAUCGGAACAUAAAGAGAAAAUACACCUACCUAGAAUAAAGAAAGGAACAGACUAAAGACUAUAAAACAUAUACAUGCACACUCUGUAUACUACUGUAAGCCUAUGUAUUACUGAAAACUAACCAAAAAAAUAAAGAAAUGCCAAAAAAAUCAACAAAACUGUCAUUUCAAUUUGCAUUCAAAUAUCUGGCUAAAGAACAUUCCCUAUCUAAAUGGUCAGUUACAUGAUACAUCAAAACCAAACAGAACUGAUGAACUUUCUGCACACACUAGCACCAACAGAUGUUUGCUUCCAUUUCGGACAUUUCAUUUACUACACAAAGAAAAUAAAAAUGGAGAACCAGGUACACACCAUAUGCAUUAUGACUAGAAUCACCGAGCCCACAAUCAAAAUGAGAAACAAAGAGUGUAGGCUAUAAAACUCACAUGGGUCGCAUUGAGACCACAAAGCUUUAACAAAAUUAUCAUCAUCCAUGAUAGAUCCUGAAAAAGUUACAAUAAAAAGAAACUUAGAAAGCACAAAGCAUGAAAACCUAAGAAUACUCAGGAUUUUUUUUCUUUCUAAAAAGACAUAAAUUAAUGUGGGAAAUAGGGUAUGGAUCAUCUUCAGCAAAGUCAUCGGGCAAAAAUUGCCUCGAGAAUCAUCAGUGUCAAAAGAACAUUGUAUGCAAAUAUUCGGCUCAGAAGCCUUGCAGAGUUUACCGAUUACAGUAAUCUAUAUAUUACAGGCCACAAAAAAUAGAGUUCAGAUGAUCCCUAACUAAGAUCAACCGAAAAAAGAAGAAUAUAAAACAAGAGGCAUGAUACAGUGCAAAGUACAUAUAUGUUCCGUGGCGAUUAUAUAAAAGUUACAUAAGGUAUACAUGUCACUUACAGUAAUCAAAGCAUAGUACUUAAACAAGAACCUUAACUGUAAGUGCCUAAAAAAUGCAAACACUAGCUACUCCAUUAGCAGAAGUGAUCAUAAGAACGAACAUGAUAAUUUCAGAAAAGCAUUAGUAC
rnacentral:lncRNA from 1 species